GACGAACCGUCCAAACGUUAUUCGGAAUCACUGGGCUUACAGAGUUCGUAGGCGGUCUGGAAAGUUGGGUGUGAAAUCCCUCGGCCUAACCGAGGAACUGCGCUUGAAACUACCAGACUCGAGGGAGAUAGAGGAAAGCGGAACUGAUGGUGGAGCGGUGAAAUGCGUUGAUAUCAUCAGGAACACCGGUGGCGAAGGCGGCUUCUGGGUCGU
rnacentral:rRNA from 1 species